rnacentral:lncRNA from 1 species
CUGCAUGCAAAGAUAAAACCAAUACGACUGUGUUUUAAUCAACCAUUGGGACACUAGGAUUUAAUCUGGGGUAAGGUAAGAAAACUAGCCUCUGGUUUGCAGUGCUGGUACAAUUUGGCUGCCAUAUAUUGUGAACCAAACAGAACUGAAGUCAACUGAUUUUCCGGGUUAUUUUGUCCAAAUGUGAACUGGCAAUCCAAUAACGACUCCGCCGAGGUCCUUUUCAAGAACUUUGAUUUCCAUCACACAAAAAAUUUACAAAGCCAAAAGAAAAAUUAGAGCUUGUUUAAUAACCAUUUCAGUUUUUAGCUAGUUUAAACUCAAAAUGAAAUGGUAACAAAUGAAUCAAAAUAUAAAAAGAAAUACAAAAAUCAAUUACUUCUUGUAUGAGGACUCCGGGGGGGAAAGUGUAAUGAGGCAAAUAGGCUGUGACAAAAACAGCAACCGAAAUCUUCUGAGGAAACAUCUCCAUGGCUAAAGAUAUAGGAAGGCCGCCAUAACUAUGACCUACCAAUAUCACCUUCUCAUCUUCAGGAAUAGAACCCAAGAACUCCAUCAAUGGCUGGACAUAAUCCCAAAUGGAAGUGACCUCGUGAAUCUGGUUGGAAUGGAUCCCAGAACCACCGAGGUCCAACGCGGUGACGCGGUGGCCAGCAUGUCGGAGUAGGGCAACAAGCUUGUACCAACACCAUGCUCCGAGGCAACUGCCGUGAACCAAAACGAAGUGCUUUGCAUUCUGCAU